GGCGGCGGCGGCGGCGGCGGCGGCGGCGGCGGCGGCGGCGGCGGCGGCGGCGGCGGCAGCAGGGUCCGGGGUAGACGGGGCAGCCCGUGAGCUCGCCAGUCACCUCAGCCCGCCAAUCCCCUCAGUCACCUCAGCCCGCCAGUCCCCUCAGUCACCUCAGCCCGCCAAUCCCCUCAGUCACCUCAGCCCCGGCUGCGUGACCGUUACCGCACGGCUCGGCAAUGAGAGAUUCAAGCACAAAAAGACACCGGUACCUAGUUUUUAUUUGAAGGGAAAGCUAAUAACGGCAUCCCUCGCAUCAUGCCACGGUUGUGUUUUGAAGGGUUUCUUUGCAAGGGGAUGUGAGGCGUUUCACUGUGUUACCUCACUAGAGGUUACAACACGUACUCAAGGGACCAGCCAGAAUACAGAUUGCCGAUCCACACUAAAGAACAGCUCCCACUGCGAGAACCGAUGAUGGUUUUGAGUAUGUCUGAAGGAAGAGGAAAAUGAUAAACUGCUAAAGAGGAAGAGAAGCCAAGACUAACACUGUCUCAUACCUGCUUGCCUUCGGGAACGAGGUUCAGCGUCCCGUACACUGCGACGCUGCUCUCCGUGGAGAGAACCAGCCCAUUGUAGCACUGACACUGCCGACACAGACAGACAAAGCGUUAAGGGAGCUUCUUGGGUUUAGUUUUCUUACAACAUGUAUUUGGCUCUCAGGCAAGAUUGACUCAUAGCCACUUCCAAACAGCUCUCACAUUGACAAAAAAAUUCUAGUGGUAUGAGAUACGAUUUAACAAUAAUACGACUUAAUCAGUAGGUUUAGGGGAAUUUCCAAUUGUCUAUAUAAAAGAAAAAAAUAUUAGGUACAAACACUUCACUUAUUUAACACAGAAGAGAAUUCAAUAUCACGACUUACCAGUUCAUCGGAAAGGACACACUGAAGAAAACCUGUGCCAUCUCUCAAAACAAUGAACAUCAAAUUUUUUCCUAGUGAAAAGGAAGGAAGAAAAGCAGAGCACCUCAGCUUUAUUCACUGACCCAUCUGAACAGACCUGCUCCCCAAGCACAUCACCACUGAUGUGCACGUUGUUACAGAAGGACUGUGAUCACAUCCUUCCAUUUGAAAAACCAAGGAUGCUCCAGGUGAGCACUGAGCACGAGCACAGUUAGAAGCAUUUCAGAGCUGUAUUUUGUAUAGCAAAUUAAAAUAAGUUUCGACAGCCACCAGGAGCAAAGCCUGCUCCAAGCUGACAGGGCUGGGAUGGUACUGCCGUGCCCCGACCUCGGAUGCCCCUCUGGUCCCCAGGGACCAAAGUCCUGCAGAGAUAAAGGGGGCGAAUGCCUGUGGAGCCAGAAGCACCCCUGCCGUGCACAUCCAUGCCUCGACCAACACCACCUUGCCAGCCAGGACACCGGUCAUUCUGGCAAGUAUUCAUGCUAAGCUUAUGUUAAGACUAGGUGCUGACUCAUUUUAAGAGCUGUUGAGUUUGUUCCGUUUGCACAGGUUCAGUCAAUGCUUGUGGCUUACCUUGCCUCCGUAAUCUGUGGAUCCAGCCAAAAAUCUUCACUCUCUGGCCUCUGUAAGCCUCCAGAGCACCAAUCUUUACCUGUCAAGGGAAAUUAUUCACCCUUUAGAUGGUGUUUUCCACAUAAUUACUUACAAUACCAGUGUCUGUGACAUCUUCCAGCAGUGUUUAAAGCGAAGCUCCACCCAGGUAUAAGCACAGUACUGACCAGCUCUUUAGUAAGGAGAGCGUAAUUCAGCGAGUUCUGUCCCAGGGAGUACGAUCAGACAGCAUUUCCAGACUUGGAAGUGAGUGCAGUGCAGGUCUGGAGGAGCCUGCGGGUUCAGCCCUUGCCCAGAGAGCGGCGCUGGGCUCCAGUCAAACCACUCCUGCGGGGGUCACAGAAACCCCUCGCACAGGCUCUGUGUGAAACCCCACAGAGCAGCGAGCACAGGACCUGCCCAAACCACCAAGGCCAGCCGGACUCUACAAAGAGCCAAUUGACACGUCUCAGUGACUCCAGUUACAUCCUCUGACCAGCACUGCUGCUUCAGUCUCCACCAUGAUAAUCAAAGCAAAAUUAAUGGACUUUCUCAAACAGAAAUAUGGUCUCUACCACUAGACAGACACAGAGAAGUCUGAUGUGUGAACUGAGAAAGUUUCAGACAUCCAUCAAGUGUAUGAGAAAGACUGAAAUGUACACACUAGAGAACACAGAUAACCACAAAAACAACGUUACAUUUAUGGACGGCAAAAAGCCUGUGGCCACACAGCAGAGCCAGACCCAGUCUCCGUGAGGACAAGAUCAAACACAGGCCAUGUAUCAAGUGCGCGGGAUCUUACACAUUUUGGCUCCGGAAGGCUGGGGUCAUUCUUGAUAACAACUUUCUUCGCUUCCUCCAGGUUCUUCUCUCUUCUCAAGAGAUCCUCCGCCUGGUGCAAAAAGAACAAUAGCUGUAACCAGGCUCGGCAAGAUUCCCACUCCUUACAAUUACUCGAGACUAUAAUAUGCACUGACAGACAGAGGUGUCAUGAAGCUUUGAUGUUACCCUGCUGGGGCCUAAACAUGGCCUAACUCAGGACCAGGAUGAGAAACAACACACGGAUGCAUUUAUGAUUGUAUCCUGAAAAUCUAAAGGCAACAGACUGCAACGAUUCAAAACCCGCCCCGUUUCAGCCAUUGGCUUGUCCUAAUCUAAAGAAAGGCGAGUUGCAAAUAACAUCUGUGCAAAACAAUGAGACGGCUGACGAACAAACAGAAGCCUUUCUGGAGGGGUGGGAAUGGCAGCAACGGUGCUUAAUGUUUCAGAAGAAGGAAGUUGGUGUGAUGCGGCUCCUCCCCCGUGGCAGCCCCUGCAACCCACCUCCUUCUUCUCCUUCGCCUCGUUCUUCAUCUGUUCCCUGUGCCACAGCUUUUUGACAUUUUUCAUCUGUGACUUUGAAAUAAUGGCCCAUCUCUAAAUCAACCCAAGGAGAGAGCAGAAGAUAAGAGAUUACAUUUGUGUCCCUUCGCACCAGGGAGCAGUAAAGUGAUUUCUACUAGGAAGCUCCAGCACUACGGCACCUCGUUUUCUUUUUGCGAAUCCACAUAAAUAGUAGGAAACGGUUCCUUUCCUGCUGUCAUCAAAGCCUAAAAAAGGGAGAAAACAACAGCAUCAGUGGCACUGCAAGUGAUCUAAGUCAUCCUUAAAAAGCCCAAGCAGACAUCCUACUUCUGAUCAGAGAUGCAAAAACCAGUAUAAACUUUACAUUUAGAAAUACAAGGCGAACCAUUUGGCCUGAAUCGCAGCUCACGUUUCAGAACAAACAGCAGGUGCUCCCCAAGUUACCUUGAGAACAGUCUUGAACGGCUUCUUCUGCGUCCCAUCCCCCGUGGAGUCGCUGCCCUCUCGCUCGGACACGUACAGCUCCUCUGGAACACACAAACACGGGCGGUUACUCACAACAGGAAAAACGCAGCAGCCAUGGAGACGUGCGGGAAAAACCAGGAGGGGCACAGGGAUACAGAAAUCACGGUGAUCGACAGAAAUGAGCCGUCAAAAGCAACUCCGUGGGCACACAGGGUGAGAACUGUUUAAUAUUUCCCACUGCAAAAAUCAGCCCAUGCAGCAAGCGCUCAAGUCUCAGGGGCUGAUGCCACAGGGGAACCCGCUCCGGGGCUCCGGCCGCGGGCACGGCCCGGCCCCCUCCGCACGGAGCUCCGGCCGCCCCAGCCCCACCCGGCACGGCCCGCUCGGGCCGGCAGCCGCCCCGCCGCUGCCGCCAUCUGCUGCCCGCGGCGAGGGGCCGCGCCGGGCCCAGCCGCAUGGCAUGGCAUCACAUGGCAUGGCAUGGCAUGGCAUGGCAUCGGGCCGGGCCGGGGCCGCGCCAGGGCCCGCAGGGAGCGCGGGGCCCGCCCGGCUCACCCAGCGCCAGCGCCGCCGUCCUGCCCAGCACCUCUCCCGCCAUGGCCGCCCCACUGCCGCAGCCCGCCGGAAGUGGCGUCACCGCCGCGCCCUGAGCCAACCCGCCGCCGCCUUGCGUCAGCCACCGCUCCGCAGCCCCGCCCCUCCCGGUAAGUCCCGCCCCUCCCGGUAGCUCCGCCCCGCCAGUCUUCAGCACGUGUCAUUGGAAAUCAAAGCAAUGUUGCCAUUUACAUAUUUGACAUUUUAAGCCCAGCCCCAGGUUCAGAGUCCAACACAUGCUGGGGGUGUUGUUUUUUUCCUUGAAAGUCCAGCCCCACAUGCCGCUUCCCUUUUAAACAUACUUAUUAGCACAGAAGCUGUAAACUUUAGGAUGUUUAUUUGUAUUAAAUUUCUGAAAUGCACAUUCCAUUAAACAAGAGCUGAAUGACAUUUUUCUUAUAAAACGAUUUAAUCAACCUUAGUUCAGGAGUUGGAAGUAGAUAAAAGUGAAACAUUCAUACAUCUCAACCUGAAGAGUCCCAGUAUGUGCAAGUGUAAGGAGACUCAUACAAACACUCUUUGCAUUGUAAGAAUUGAUCCGUUAUUGACUGUGUACCUAAAACUGAAAUGAAGACACUUUGCCAGCCCCAAGGGCAGUGUUGCAGAGAUCAGGUGGAUCUGUUCAUAAACACAUGCCUAUAAACGUCAGGAUUCCUAAUAAAAUCCGAGCCGGGGCUUUGCCGUUGGACUGUGCGGGUCAGUGAAACGGCGCACACCAGGUAACUGCUGUUGGCAGUUUGCUUUCAAAGACUAAAGACGAAAUGUCGCUGCAGUUUCAUACCAGCAUAUCACGAAAAUGUGAAAAGCUUGCAGUGCCAGGCACCACAAGACCGAAGUUGCGAUGCUGGGUUUUGUCCCCUAGCACACGCAUCCUGCACUGCCACGUGGGACAGAAAGCAGUUGCACAAGGGUUAGUAGCUCCGCAGAGAACUCUUGCUCUUUGUGUGUUUCCAGCAGUCCUGUGAUAAAGCAUAAGAGUCUUCAUAUCCUUAUGCCGUUUGCUUAAAAAAAUAUCUUGAGUUCAUUUAAAAAAAUCUUUGUUUGUGCAAUCCGAGGGCUAAAAAGCUGUCGCUCAGCUGGUGUGGGGGGCGCCCGCGGCCCCCGUCCCGUGCAGCACGGCGUCCAGGGGAGCGCGCUUCUUGCGGAUGCUGCGUCCCGAGGCGAUGAGGUCCGCGUAGCCGCGCUGGUGGGAGAAGGCGUAGGCGGAGCGCCGGGCCGACACGCCGCGGUGCAGCGCGCUCUGCCGCCGCCGCCACUGCUGCUCCGCCGCCAGCAGCUUCUGGCGGUUCUUCUGGAUCUGCACGUGUGCAAGGACAGACGGGUUUACAGGUUACAAGUGAAAACAGCCUGUUCGCAUUUACUGUCUGGGGAAAUCACCUGAUAAUUUUACAUCCUUCAACUACUUCACAGGAGGGUUCUCUAGUUUCAAUUUUAUUUUGAUAGAAACAAGAAUAUAUGCAGCAACACAUCACCAUUUCAGGAAGACUCUCUGCAUUGUUUUGAACUUCAUUUUCAUUUACCUUUAACUGUCUUUCACCGAAGCGGGUUGAAGAUACAUAACUGAAAGCUAUUCCUGUGCUCUCAUGCUGACACCAAUGUCUCUUGCCAGCUCAAGGUGAAACAGAAGCAAACAAAACCUGUCCAGUGCACUGACACGUCGCACUGGAACCCAGCACGGCCCAAGCAAGAGCAGAACCCGGCCGCGUGCGGCUCCAGAGCAGGUUUCUGCGGUGUGAACAAGGCGACCGCUCAGCCAAGAGACGGAUCAGCCUGCUCUGAGCUGUGCUGCGCUCGCCCCCGUCCCGCUGCGUCCCGCACAACCACACCAGGGACAUACACGAGAUAAGGGCCCGUAACGUGACGCUCUGCUCUGGGGACCAGACGUGACAGUGCCCGUCGUCACCAGCCCGCAGGCAGCCCGCAGAGCGCUGGGUCCCACCGGAGCCGAGCUGCCCGCCCGGCGCUGCUGGGCACAGGCACCCUUUAGUCUCUAAUAUCAGCACCAACACCGACUCCUGUAAAUAACACGUGCCAAAGGAACAGAAAUAACUUUACUCACUCUAUCGCUCUCUGAAGGCCAAAUUGUCACUGAUAAGAAACGCCACGCCACCACAGGCAGUAAGCAAACAGCAAUUGAUAAAAUCAUGGUCAGCCAGAGGUACGGCUGUCUCAGAGCAUUUGGAGCCGUUCCUUGGGAUAAAAAGAGCAAAAACUAGUUUGUGACAAACAUCAGCAUUUGGCUGUGCCUCACCUCAGGGUUUUACCUUCCACUGAUGGGUUAGUGCAGCUUGGCAAACACGGUUUUCAUUUGCAGACCCCCACUGCUGGGCAACAUCAAGUUCCAGCUCAUUUCAUUGAAACAAAAGAAACACUCCAAUAAAGCAACUUGGCCCCAAAGAGAAACAAACAUCAUUUCCUUCCACAGGCAUCAGGUUCGGGCCAUGACAUUCGGGCCAUAGUUCUGCUCAAGCGACAAAGCUGCGAGGACAGGAACAAGAACCAGAAAACACAAGGACUGACCUGUGAACUGGAAGCCGGACGGAAAGAGAACGUGGAUUCCGGCACUGUGGAAGUCAAACGUGAUACCAAAGUAAAGUGCAAUACUCCCAAACACUGAGAAGGCAUUAACAAACGUCCAGUAAGAGGUAUCCAAGCCAAUCUAAAAGCAAACAAAAACUCCAGAUGAGUUUAUUAAUUCGAAAUAAUGUCACCUAGUCUGAAGGCUGACAGGGUUUUGGGCGAGUCAUCUCUCAUCCAGUCAGUGAGAGAGAGGGCAGGAAAGGUAGCGUUUGUGUGUAUUGUUACCUUUUCAGUAGACAAAUUUAGAAAGGUGAGCAGAAGGUGUUUCCAGAGCACCACAGGAAGCUAAGCUUACUUGCCUGAAAAUUGACGAUAAAUAUAAGAGAAGAUGCUGCCGUGACAGCGAAGGACUGAUAGUCUGAAGGUGCUUCUCCAUCUUGUCCCAUGGUUUUCAGGUAAGCUCCAUACGGUAUGAAGAAGAUCACCAAUGAAGUUAUAGCUCCAUGCAGCAAACUUAAAAAGAACUUCUUGUAGUUAAAAAGUGAAUCUUUCUGUCCCAAAACAUACAGACUGGGGAACCGAAGACUCAACUUGUCGCUCACAUCCUUGAUAAAGAGAAAAGAAAAGGAAAAGUUGCUGCAGUUUCCAGUUCUCGGUGUGAGCACUGACGAGCGGGCAGCUCAGCUCCGGGGCAGGCUUCUCUGCCCCCUGCACAGCCGGGGACACCCCUCGCAGAGCUGCCACGUGUCUCGCUUCCAGCCCCACGGCUUUCUAGCCCAUUAUUUGCCAGGACAAGAACGCAGACAGCUGUGCAGCGUGCUCCAGCUGUGAACUGUGCUGGAGGCUUUUCCCUCUCCAGGGAAUAAGCAGAAGAUGGGGCUGUCACUGCAUGUCCUGCCUUCAAGGCUCUAACAAAUACUGAAGCGAGAGCUUAAUUUGGAACAGAAUUAAUUCCUUCACUUUUGUCACAAUAGAAAGCGGAAACAUUGAUUUGCCUGAUCAUCAGGUAAGCCUUGUACAGAAAAAACAGUGCAAAAGGCCAAAAGCACCUGUCCCAGCAGAUUAAAACAAAUGCUACACACCAAGACCUCCUGUCAAAUACAGUCACUUAAAUUGUUCAGUCCCUACGCCUUCAAAAGGGUAAGCACAGAACAUCUUUUCCAGUAACAAAGCCGCCCGUUGCUGUGCUGUGUGAAUGACUUCAUGGAACAGCAGGCACUCAGAAGUAUUUGUAACAAACACGGUUAGCGCUGCAGACCUCUGACUGACCAGCCUCGGCUAUUUCAGUAACCCUCUGCUCACUGCCUCCUUACCCCACAAGCCAAACACCCAACCAAACCGCCCCAAACGCCUUGUACGUAAACCAGAGCAAGCAGUUUCAGUGUAAUUAAAGGGCUGAUGUUAGCUGCCUUUGGAUUCCUCUGCUGCUAACAGCACCACGGGGAAUACCUGGUCGAGCAAGCCAACCAGCAGAACCGGGAGACUGGAGUACAGGACGUUGUACAGCGUGAUGAACCAGUCUUCGUACGCUGUCUGCAAGGGGAGGAGACAUCUCAGUCAUUAAUCACCUCUUGAUUCCACCUUCUCCUCCCAGUUCCUGAGAAGGCUCACACAUGCGCCACCACAGCAUUAAAUGACCUGUCUCACUGUUUACCAAAAGGCAAGCAGCACUGUAGUUCAAAGCUCUGCUCAAACUAUUUUUAGGCUGUAUUAAGCUGCCCCACUCCUUAUGAGCCAUUGAUGUUGCCUGACCUGAAACACUGUGCACACUGAACCCCUCACACCAGCGUCGGUCUGGUUUACACCGCACUCGUGACCGUGACCACAACCUGUGAGCACUCCCAACGCCGCCUGGUACAACCAGCACAUUUCGAGCCAUUCUAGCCAGCAGCUCAGAUAAAGAAUGUCCGGUUUGGUUUCCUACUGAUACGUACACAUGCAUCAUGUCAGUUCACCUGGAGGAACAGGGUUGGGAAAGGGCUCCCAAACCGCUGUGUACCAACCUCUUCCUCCCUGGGCAACCCCAGUACUGACUUCAGUGUUCUGAAUCAUAACCAGCUGUUAUCUUGAACUAACUAGCUUGGUAGUUACACCUAUCUCCUGCAGAACUAUUGCUGAUAACUUCAGGUUCCCAUCACUGCCCAGGCUGAGCCUUUGCUAUUCUGACAAAAAUGAGAUCUGCUUGUUAAUGUUACCCAUGAGCACACCUUCUUACCUGGGCAGAAAAGCCAUUGAAGAAUGAGUACCAGAUGUGGACUAGUGUAAAAGCAAAGUUUUUGUAGAAAAAGUAUCUUAAAAACUUGCACAUCCGGAUGUAGGACCAUCGUCCGUGGACCAGCAGCAGCCUCUGGAGGUAGCGGAACUGCCCGAAGGAGUAGUCGCUCGACAUGACGGCUUGCAUCCCUUCCUGGCCGCUGAUCCCAACGCCAAUGUGGGCAGCUAAGUGAAGGAGAUAAACACCACACGCUGCGUGAAAAAGGAGAGGAACAACAGCACUGAGGGCAAACCUGCCCCCAGCUCCCGCUCUCUGCUGCAGGUUCUUCUGCCCGGUUUUAGUUCUGCAGCGCAAAGGCUGCAUUAAAGACUAGACCAACUGCACAUAAGCCCUUCCGUGCCCUGUCACGUACUGUUCACGCCUCCCCUGUCACCUGGAUUCUCUCUCAGUGCUUGUUCCAUCAGAGUGCCUCCAAGCAAGGGGCAGCUAAGCUUUGUUCUUCAUAGAACUUUGCUCUUUACAUUACAGAUUUGUGACCCGCAACACAGUAAUGAACGUAAUUCAAGCCCCUUUCUCAGGGAACAUCUACAGAAAAAGCUAAAACAUAUCAGCAAAAACUACUAACCAUUUCUUAAAGGGCUUCUUCGAAAUGGGAAAGCACAGGCCUAGAAGCUAACAAACCCCAAGGACUGUUAACGUGGGUAACGAAAUAGACGGUAGAGUCUUCAGAACAAAGAGUAACAGCGAAGAGACUGCAGAACGCCCAGAAGAGAUCUUGCCUACUGAGAGAAGUUUUACGGCUGCCUUACUUUUAAUCAUGUUUACAUCAUUGGCACCGUCCCCAAUAGCCAGAGUAAUGGCUUUCUUGUACUUCUUCACCAGCUCCACCACCAUGGCUUUCUGCUUCGGGGUCACGCGGCAGCAGAUCACGGCCCUGCACUCGCAGGCCAGGUCCACAAAGUUCUGCUGCUGCUGCUCUUUGUGGGCCUCAGCCCUCCUCCUCUUCUCGCUCUGCUGCUGCUUCUCUUCUGCUGUCCUGGGGAACUUCAGUUUCAGCUUCUUUUUCUUCUUUUUCUUCUCUAGCAAGAUUUCAUUCUGUGUAACAACAAUAUUUUAUGUUUCCUUCUACACUCUUUCAAAUCGCUCUCCAAGUGCUGCCUACACAACACACUUCAUUAUGCUCCCAUCGCCCAUUUAUAGCAUUUCAAUAAAAUGCUCGUGCAGAGGAGUGAACAAAGAGCUAUGGAAACAAUGAAAAGAAUGUAUUCGGUGAGAUUAACCGAGGCAAAAUGCUUGUGUUUAGUGUCACAGCGCUGCUUGCAGUGUUUGAAGGAAUAUCUCUUCUGAUGGGAACUAAUUCACUUCUGGAACAUUCUGUUAUUUAGGCCCCCCUCUCCCAUUUCCCCAUCCCGCAGACAAAUGAAGAGUCCUCCGUGAAGGACACUGUGACCUGGUGGUGCCCAAAUCCCGGAUAAACAGAACAUCCCUUGUACGUACCAGCCAGGAGCCGGUGAUUAUUAAAGCCCGAUCCUUGCUGCCCUGGAAGAAGGGCUCGCUCAUCCUUAGAGAGGAACACGCGCUCGACCCCGCGCUGUUCCGCUGGUUUUCCAGCCUGGUUUGAAGAAGCGCACUGCAAAGAGAGGGGGGCGCCAUUUCAGAAAAGUCAAGCUACAUCAGCCCCAGACAAAGUCUGCAAGAAAGAAAUGCAAUAUAUGCUGCAAGGAGGUUUUGUGCCGCAUAUUUGGUGACGUUCUGAGCUCUAGGACUGGGGAGGGACCUGCCCAGCCCACUCCUGGUGGCUCCAGCCUUGUCCGAACCACAGGCCAAGUUCAAUGUCAGCAGCUGCUGACCUAAACACACACGCUCCUGCAGACAGGCUGUCACCACCUCUGCCCACAACCGAGGGCGCCUUGCGGAAGUACAGUUCCAGACAGAACAAAGCCCAGAGGAUGCACAGACGGCCACCCGCCAAGGAGCGCCGUUCAGCCAGGGAGGCACUGUGCGAUAAACCAGUCAACUGCUGCGCUCAGUGUAACAACGGAACGGUUUUCAUUCCCACAAAAGAAAUCCUCUGUGCUUUCCACUUGCCUGAUAUCUUCUCCAUAGCAGAUUUUUGUUUCAUCUGUUAAGAGUUCACAAGAAAAUCCAAUAUUUUCAGCAGUUUCUGCAAUAAAAAAAUAAGACAGGAGAGCAUUUACUUAAAGGUUCUGUCAGGAGUAACUGUCGGGAGCAGCCAGAAGUACCUCAAGUCCUUUUCAGCAAUUUUGGAAGUUAUGUUUCAGUAUGAGAAGUUCCCUUUCAUUACCGCAGUGUGGAUGAACAGCAGAAACAUCAAACCAUCGUACGCCAUCAAAAACCGCCACACCAAGCUUUUCUGGAAACGCCUCACUUCCGGCCUGCGCUGUCCCCGUUCGCCCUGCUGCCCUCCCCCCGUGUGCGGCAGCUCUGCGCCCCUGCGCAAACACACCUUUUUUGUCCCCAGUGAGCACCCAGAUUUUAAUGUCUGCUUUCGAAAGUCUGGAAAUGGUUUCUGGAACGCCAUCCUGCAGUUUGUCUUCAAUAGCUGUGGCCCCGAGCAGCUGCAACACAUUUCAAAUACGGCUAUUUAGUAGGCCGGACAUGUAUGGAAAAUGGAUCCAUUUUCAGGAGAGAAUGAAACUAUUGUGGUAUGUGGUCAAGACAAGGCACAGCUCAGGCUGAGAGCUCAGUAAGGACAAGCUCCUGCACACAGAAGUGACCACAUUGAAAUACAUGUACUAAAAUACACUUCCCUUCCCUCUGUUGAACUCUAAAAUCUGGCAGGGCUCUAAAGCCAAUAGAGUACUGAAAGAAUCACAAUGUCCCAAUAAACAGGGAUAAUUUAUUUUCACAAAGAUCUGUCUCUUCUAAUACAACAAUAAGAGUACACUAAAAAUUUAAAGCUCGACUCACAAUCAAGUUUUUUUCUAUUUCCUCAUAUACUUUGUCCAGAGCUUCAUCACGAUCAGUUGUAGCUACACUGGCCUCCAUAAACUUUUUAUUCCACGCUUCAAAUUCGUCCUGACCGAUGUCUCGGUAGCACAGGCAGAGGGUCCUGAGAGUUUCGUUUGCAAAAAUCUGGAAAAGAAUUGAAAAACCAUAUCCACAAUCUGAACCUGUUCCUUUGCAAUCCGAGCAUGAGAGACAAGAUCAUAAGCGUUUGGUAAGUCUGAUAAACCAAAUCCGACUGCGCCAUCAGUCCUGCGUGCUCCAGAAAUGCCAAGAACUGAACUACAGCUGACGGGCACCUGAGCUGAACCACUGCGGAGGUGGCAAACGGAGCAGAGUGCGCGGAUCUGCAACACGGGAACGAUGAAGACAGCAUGCAGGCGGAAUCUGAGCGCACUUCUCAUCAAAAGACAAGGAAGGCAUUGUUAAGAACACGCAAGCAAACUUACAUAGCUUUGAUUACUUCUCAGGUUUGGGACGAUUUGUAGAACCAGUUAUAAUUCUGCAUUUUUAAAAUAGCUUAGGACAAGGAAUUCAAUAAAAUUAUUUAUAGUCAGAAAUAAAAAAACUAAUUUAAAAAUGGCAUAUAAAAUAGAAACGUACAUCCAGUGCUUCUUCUGUAGCUUCUCUCUUCAGAUUCUUCGGGUGCAACCGCUCAUAAAUUACCGUAUCAGCCCCUUUACAAUAUAGCCUGAUACUCCCAUCUGAUUCUCUUACUGUGGAGUGAAACACGGGAGGUGGGACAAAUGUUAGAGUACAGGGAAAUAACGGAACAGUUUUCCGAUUUUUCAGCCUACUGCUGUUAAGUACCAAAACUACCAGAUCGUGCUGCUGCUUCAUCAUCUCUAAUAUUGUUGGGUUAAGUAACCUGGCUGACAAGUGCAUCUCCUCUUCCCUUUCAUGACAGGAGAGGACAUUUAAACUCCCAAGGAUUAUGUUUUUGAUAACAGAUCAUACAGGAUUAACAUCUCGCUCGCCCAUAGGAGCUGGGCAGACAUACACUAGAGAUAUGAUGUCCCAUAAUUACAGCCUUAGAAUCAGCAGAUCUCUAGCUGAUUCAGAACUGACUUUCUUAAAGAGAAUUAAAACUAAAGAGCUAUUUACGCCUCAGCCUGCAUACCUGGAAUCCCAACAGCUGGAGGAACAUGCGGUUUGCUCGUUCUCUGGGAAAAAGGAGAACAAGUGAUCUCUGCAGCAUUUCUUCAGGCUGCUGCCAAAGGGAGCCGAGGCUGUUUCCAGCAGAGGCCGCCUCUGAGCGCCAGGACUGUCCUGAUUACAAAGCCUCUUUGCUGCCCAGAGCUGUGCGGAUCACAGCUACCUCAGGGCUGUGUCCUGCACAGCCGGAGUUCCUGGCUUCACCUGCCCUCGCACGUAUUUACGCCCACGAAACACGAGUGACCUUUUCUGCAGGGGCUGGUCACGAUCAGCUUACCGAUGACAGACAUGCGCUUCCUGUCGCUGUUGAAAUCCAAGAUAGCAAGGACAUCGUAAGUUCUCUCAAUGCCCAUUUCACUGAUAGUGAUGGUGUUUUGUGUCCGGGAAAGGAAAACGUAGCCGAAGUUCCUGGCUGCCGUAACCAGGGCCCCCUCGUCCGGGGAAGCUGCUUGGUAGUUGAGCUGACCUGGGCCAUGGGAACGGUGAAAAGAGGAGAAAGUUGGGGGAAAUGUGAGCAUGUCUCUGUCUCAAAACAAAUACAAUUUAAACAUCUUAGUUUCUCAAUACCUCCAUUUAAGCAUUUUCAAAGCAAGCUCCAAAAUACAAAUCUGUGGCCACAGACACCAACAUAAAGUAGUGGAAGCAACUCCAGAAACAUCAGCAGGAAGAGUGAGACAGGACAGGAGACUGCCCGUUCCACAGAGCGCUCAAAGACAGGACUAGAGCAAUAUCGAACUUCAAUGGUUUAACUGAAUCUCCCAACCUUACUUUUCACACUCAUGAAUUCUUCAGUAGCCAUUCAACUCUACAUUUUGUUUCUGUCACCUUUUUGUUAUUCAUUUUGGUAAUUUGCUGCCAAGACUCUGAGCACAGACGCACAUGAUUGGUAUCGUCUAUGGGGCUGUAGCUCAGGAGUGAGAGCAUGAAACCCUCAUGCAGAAAACACUUGUGUUUCCACACUGAAAACAAGUGUACAGACGUGUUCAUUCUUUCACGUGUGUACGUGGAACCAGAGACUAUGCUAAGGUCAUUAUCAUUUUAUUUGAGGUUGGUGCUUUUGAGAUUUUAAAGAUGUCUUUGAACAGAGAUAACACAUGUAACAUGAAAACACACGACUUCUGAAUAAAUGGCUCCCCUGCCUUUCGAGAUCUCCUGCUAUUUAGGAUGUGCAUUUGCCACAAAGACAGUCCUCCUUCCACAUGGGACCAGCACCAGUUAUGGAAUCUCUCCCUUGUGCAACUGCAUUUGAGUUACUGUUUCCCCUUACACAAGAAAAAACCAACACAAACAUACUGACCGUCGGAAGUGUCGACCAUGACUGUGUGACAAAUAGCAAGCAGAAAAAAGAACUUGGGAAUUUCCGGCUCCUUUCCAGAUUUUAUUUGCUCUAUGAGAUAAUGAUCGUAGAACAAGAACUUUCCAUCUGCAUACAUGUUCCAGCUGAAAUCCACUUGCUGCUUAGAAAUCAGAAGAGCGGGUUGGAGUGAGCUCACAUGCCAUUGCUCUGUGCCCUCCUGCAUCUCCCCGCUUGGCACGGGAGCGCUCCCCGAUGUGCCGCUGCUCUGUGCCCUCCUGCAUCUCCCCGCUUGGCACAGGAGCGCUCCCCGAUGUGCCGCUGCUCUGUGCCCUCCUGCAUCUCCCCGCUUGGCACGGGAGCGCUCCCCGAUGUGCCGCUGCUCUGUGCCCUCCUGCAUCUCCCCACUUGGCACGGGAGUGCUCCCCGAUGUGCCGCUGCUCUGUGCCCUCCUGCAUCUCCCCGCUUGGCACGGGAGCGCUCCCCGAUGUGCUGCUGCUCUGUGCCCUCCUGCAUCUCCCCGCUUGGCACGGGAGCGCUCCCCGAUGUGCCGCUGCUCUGUGCCCUCCUGCAUCUCCCCGCUUGGCACGGGAGCGCUCCCCGAUGUGCCGCUGCUCUGUGCCCUCCUGCGUCUCCUCCCAGGUACACUCCCUGCAUUUGGGCUGCAUCCACGUACCUGCGGGUGGCUCUGCAGCUGCCCCGCUCCGUCCCGCCAGUCUCCUGCAACACAAGCGCCGUCCAUGAGAAGGCAGCGGACAGAAUAACAAAGAUUUUACAACUCAUUCACAGAAUAAAAAAUACAUAGAAUAUCUGUGGCACUAGAAUGGCUCAGAUUUAAGAGAAGCAAGUGCUUUCACGGUCACAGUACCUUUGUAUACUGCUGACACUAAAGCAAGUUAAGAAAAAAGCACAUGGUUGAAUUGUUACAAAACAUCCACGUUGGCUUAAAACAGCUUUCUCUGUCAGAAAUUCCUCAUCUCUCUUUAGGGGCAGGAUGUUUAAGAAGCACAGACAUUAGCACACCGUGUUCUUCAUUAUUUGAAGCAACCAAGCAAGAGUUUUGGAGCACACAUGCUGUGUUUUCUAAACACUGAAAUCCAGACAAGAUUGGAAAUGGCAGUAACUAACACCAACAUGAACAACUGCUGCUCUUAUUAAAUUCUCCUCUUUCUUUCUAGAUUAAUUUUGUUCCUGAAGUGUCUCCACUCAAAGUAAAGCAUUCUGUAAAUCAUGCAUUCCUGGCUUCUCUACUGGGAAGUUUCCACUCAGGUCCAUCAGUUUCCCCUUUUUAAAGGGGAAAACAGUGGGAAAACCCCAAGAAUUCCAUUUCAGUGGAGCUGUACUCAAUGCCAGGCUAAACUGUGGAAGUUCAGCUGAAACCGAAGGCUCCUGUGCGCCCAAUUCCAAAGAGCGUUGUUGUGGAACUCCCCUGGUGAGCGCCGCCUGCUCGGGGCCGGGCGCUGAGCUGGGCAGGCUCUUCCUCGCUGCGGCCUGGCUUUCGCUGCAGGGUGCCACACACUUACCGUAUCUUUGGCCGUUUAUGCAACAUUUUUUAAAUGUCAUGAUGUUCUGCGUAAGCGUUCCCGUCUUGUCGGAGAAGAUGUAGUGGAUCUGCCCCAGCUGCUCGUUCAGCGUGGUGGUUCUGGCCUUCGCCGCCGUGUCCUUCUCCGGGUAGUACAUCUGCAGGUCCCAGUUUAUAAAGUAGCUUUGGCCCAACCGAAUCACUUCGACGCUAAAUUAAAUGAAAUGAACUUUUCACUCCCAGCUGCAUCUCGUACAGUCAGCUGCAUCCUGACUGUUUUCCAGGACCCAAACUGCCUAUACAGCUGGAGACGAACCAGUUGCAUUUACCAGCAUGUUCCAGAGCCCAUGGCCCUGCACAGGCCUCUCAAACUACUGCCACACUGCUCAGCCUCAGCACCACCGCAGGAACUGGGAAGAGCCUCUGCGGUCCUUGUAAGCCGAAAAUAUCAAUGGUGCUGCUCCCGUAACAAACAGAAACACCACUUGGAUUUGGAGAAACGCGGGUAGGAGACUGGACGACUUUGAAUAUGUUACAAACAGGCUUGUCAAAGGCAAAAUUAUUCACGCUUCAUGGAGCAGUAAGGCCUCUCUUUUGAGAAUAAAUCUGGAAAAUACGAUUUUUCCAUUUUAAUUUCUUAUUUCAAGUUGUUUCCUUCAUGCACUGUGACUGCAGAAUUAGACUGGAAGUUAAACACUAGCAGGAUCAAGUCUCUGAUUUUGUCAGAGAUCAUUGCUUGGGAGAAUUUUUUCCUUAGUCAAAGUAUAGAGCAGAUGUGCUUAACACUGUAAGAAGAGCUCCAUUUCUUUAAAUUCUGAGUCAAGUAUCAAGUGCUGGUCUUAUAUGAAAGCCAAGAGAUCGCUGUCUCGUACAACACCGGUGAAGAGGGCGAGCACCCAGGGCCUCUCCAGGAGGACAGGCAACGAACGCGCUUUCCCACCCAUCGCAAAGCUGCUUUUCUGACCCCCAGCGGGAAGUUUAAGUCCAUUCAUUGAUCUGUAAGUUCCGUAAUUCAACCCCCUGAGCAGCUCGGCUGCGGAAGGCCCAGGUGUUCACCCACCUGACAUAGAGGGAGAUGGGCACCAUGGUGUUGAGCACGAUGAUGUAUCCCCAGAAGUUGAGGAAGCCGCGGUAGGGAGGGCUGAAGUCCUGCGCGUCGUACAGGUACCAGGAGGAGUUGCCCACCUGCUGCUCCCAGUACGUGUGCCCGAUGGCGAGGCCGGCCGACAGCAGGAUGAGCACGACAAAGAUCUGCGGGCACACAGAGCGGCCCUGGCGCUCAGAGACAUCUCGACUCACACCCACGGCUCCAAAGCACAGAACUACGUGUACGUGUGAGACGGCGAGCAAACCCUUCCCACAAAACAUUAACUCUGCACUAACUCUGGUCGCUAUAAAACAAACUCAAACACCUGAAUUUUAAACAAAAAGGCUUACGGUAUAAACCAUGUAAUUCGUAAGGGAGUCAAUUUUUGUCCUUUUGAACCUCGUCUUUCCACUAUUUUUCAUUAUUUUUGUAUCAGCACCUAAAAACAAAGAAGAAAAAAAAGGAAAGUGACAAUAUGCAAACAAGUGCUAGUAUCACUGCUUUACAAAACUGGGGCAGAAAACGCCGUCAAUGUUUCUGUGAUAGAGAUGCCAUCUCCCUCUUUAGGGCAUGCUUUAGUUGGGAAAUGUUACACAUGCUCCGUUCAUAAAUACCUGCAAAUAUGACCAGCCCGUGGCAGAAGUCUGUAUUCCUGAUUUUACAUCCACGUAAUAAAAUCUUAUCAGCAUCCAGCGAAUAA